rnacentral:rRNA from 1 species
AUUGAACGCUGGCGGCAGGCCUAACACAUGCAAGUCGAACGGAGUGGCGGACGGGUGAGUAAUGCCUAGGAAUCUGCCUGGUAGUGGGGGAUAACGUCCGGAAACGGGCGCUAAUACCGCAUACUCUCAUAUGAGCCUAGGUCGGAUAAGUUAGUGGGGGGGGUAAAGGCCGACCAAGGCGACGAUCCGUAACUGGUCUGAGAGGAUGAGCAGUCACACGGGAACUGAGACACGGUCCAGACUCCUACGGGAGGCAGAAGUGGGGAAUAUUGGACAAUGGGCGAAAGCCUGAUGCAGCCAUGCCGCGUGUGUGAAGAAGGUCUUCGGAUUGUAAAGCACUUUAAGUUGGGAGGCGUUACCAACAGAAUAAGCACCGGCUAACUUCGUGCCAGCAGCCGCGGUAAUAC